rnacentral:rRNA from 1 species
UGGGGUAAAAGCAAGAUUGCGGGGGUGUAUAAUAUAGGGGGGGAAUUCUCCGGGCGUAAAACAUGGAGAUGCUUUGUAAAAGGGGAGUCUGGGGUUAUGGAAAGGGGUUAUGUGAAUUCCCAGGGUAAAAGGUUAAAAUUUUAAUAUAUUUGGGGGGAGAACACAUUGGGAAAGGGGGGUUCACUGGGGGAGUAAAAUAAAAUUAAGGUUCGACAAGGUUUGGGGGGAAAUAAGGAUAAAAUUAGCUUGGUAAUGCAGCCCGUUAAAGAUGAAUUGUUGGGGUGGGGGAGAUAUAUUGUUUGGGGGGGGAGGUAAGGAAAUAAAAAAUACGGAUGGGGAGAACGGUGGGAAGAUUAAAAUUUUAAGGGAUUGAGGGGGGGGCGGAAAAAGGGUGGAGCAUGUGUUUAAUUUGGAGUAAGCGGAGAAACAGUAACAGGCCCUUGAAAUGCUGUUUUACCCGUAGAGAUAUGGGGUCACAUUCGGUGGUCGUAAAGACAGGUGCUGCAUGGGUGUAGUCAGCUCGGGUUGUGAGAUGUUGGGUUAAGUACAGGAUAAGAGGGGAAAAAUCGUCCUUAGUUGCCAGCAUUUAGUUGGGCACUCUAAGGGGACUGCCGGUGAUAAGNCGAGAGGAAGGUGGGGAUGACCUAAAGUUCUNAUGGGACUUACGGGCUGGGCUACACACGUGCUACAAUGGUGGUGAUAGUGGCCAAGGAGCACGCGAGUGUGAGCUAAUCUCCAAAAGCCAUCUCAGUUCGGAUUGCACUCUGCAACUCGAGUGCAUGAAGUUGGAAUUGUUAGUAAUAGAGGAUUAGUAUGAGGCCGUCGAUCUGUUAUUUUUUGUUUUACAAAAUGUAGUUUAAAAGAUGGGAGUUGUUUUAAGGUGAGUCUUGUUUCGAUACGAAGUGGUAGAGUGAUGUCNGUAUUUCAGUUGGUUCGUAAUAUAUGUCCCC